CGAUCAAAUACUUUUUUCGAUUUUCUUUUUGAACCAAAGUCAUUUUGAAUCAGUUUUCCAACCCUAAUUUUCAUGAAAAGUAGCAGCCUCUCUCUGAACGGCGAUUCUUAAAAUCCCUAGAUCUUUCUCACUAAUUCUCAAAAUCCUAAAUCCUCUCUCACUAAUCGUUCUUCACACUUUCCUCCUUUCGAUUUUGCCUCUGUAACACACUUCCGUUCUCAGCCUUCCGAAUCACAUCGUCGCUGUCAUACCCUAAUCUAGCAUAAAAGAACAAAAGACCCAUUUUUCUCCUCUUCUAGCCAACCCCUCAAACA
rnacentral:lncRNA from 1 species